GCGUCCGUAGCUCAACGGAUAGAGCAUUUGACUUCGGAUCAAAAGGUUGUAGGUUCGAAUCCUACCGGACGCG